AUGUGGAAUCUAGGGAAUCCCAUUGGCAGGUACGUUACUCUGAUUUUCAUCACCAACUUUUCCUCUUACAGACGUGCAACUGGUGCACUUGGCUGGCUUCAACAGACCUUGUACCAGACCUUGGGCAAGAAUCAUAAAGAUUUUCUAAGCUUGGCUAAGCAGAAAGACUUUUCAAGAGGAAGAAUGGCUGGUUCAUGCUUGAGACGGCUGCCUGUUAAAUGUUACAUUAAUGAUAAGAUCCUGAAAGAGCUGGUCGGGGGGUCAGCUUUGAUUUGGGCAUUCCAUAGUUGCAGGAAGCACUCAAGCCUUAAUCUGGACCACUUGUCGGGCAGUGAAAGGGAAAAACAAUUCAGGCAGCAAUCCUCUUGAAAAACCAUACAUGGGUUUUAGAGAGAGCUCAGCAGGCCUGCAAAUGCUGUAGGCAGCUUUGAAAUCCCCAGUUUGAGAUGGGCCAAUGAGGCUUUGUUGUUGAUGCCCCAAGGGAAAAGCUAAAUGUAGCGCUCAUCACAGUGUGAAUGCAUAUCAAGAAUAAACUGAGAUUUUGCAUGGUUUGAUCUGUACA
rnacentral:lncRNA from 1 species